CUCCAGAAUGAGCGCCACCUUCCCGCAGGCUCCGAGACUUGACGGAGCUUGCGAAGCUUCAGGGGCGGUCGGGGAGAGCGCGCACGGCUGCUUUUGCUGAAACGGAAAAAGGGACUGGGCUUGAUGAUGUCUUCUGAAGCCGGGGUCGCCAUCUCGGGGCCGCUCCCGCAGGCCGCGGCGCAUGCGCUGGGCCUCCCCGGGCGUGUCGCGGACGCGCCGGGCGGGGUGGCGCGCUGGGGGGGGCCUAGCGCCCCGGGCCGGGCGGCUCAUCGCCGCGAGGCUCGGUUUUGGGGUCCUAGAUGCAAGCGCUACGUGCGUUCUUCCGGAAAGGGAUCGUUCUGUCUGUCCGGUGACGGCUCGCCGAGGCCUUUUCUUCACGGCGCGCACGGAUGGAGCUCCGCCAGCACCCCUUAGCGCCCAGCUUUCCCCUCGCCCCUUCCCGGCUGCGUAUCUUCCCUCCUCCCUUCUGCUCCGAGCGCAUCGGAUCUCUGUCCACGCUGUUUCCCUCUUUGCUGCUUCUAGGGAUACGCGCACGUCUACAUCUGAACGUUUCAUAUGCUUAAGACCCAAAAGGCCAUAUAGGUCAGCGCUUUCCUGGUCACCCAGUGACAUCCGUGACCCUCCUGCGGAGACAGACUGAUCUUCAGAGUCCUGGGUCGCUGGUGGUCCUCUACGUUUCCACAGCCGACACUGGGUCAAACUGGUCCUUCGGUGCCACCAGCGAUGGUAAGAACGUUCCUUGCUCCCACUUGACUCUCAAUGAGCCCUUUCUCUUUGGCAGAGUCGGCUGCGAUACGGGUGUAUUUUUUCCAUCAGAGUCACUCCAUGUAGCAAUGCAAAUUUAAGAAAGGUCACCAGUGUGCAGUUUACUUAGUUCUGCUCCUGAGAGGAGGUGGGUUUGCCCUGCACUAAAUCUCCC
rnacentral:lncRNA from 1 species